CCCUGCUAGAUCGUCGCAGCUGAUAGCAGUAGGCAGACAAUCAUCGCACAGUGACCGCUCGUCCCUGGGGUCUCAUGUACUCAGCUGUACACAACGCCGGCUUUACUACUCGUCUUUCAUUGACUGACUUCACUCCUCACUCGUCAUCUACCCGGAAAUGCUUGUACCCGAGUCUCAUGUGCAGGUUGACCAACUAGUGACUCUCGUCAGAGAGAUAUUGUAAAGGGCAGGGUUUCAUUUGAUAGCGAUUGUGCGUCUGUGUUCGAAUCCGUGUCACUGGAUGGCCGCUACUCAGUGACGAUAACAUAUCGUUUUAAAACAGGGCGCCUCUUCCUCGCUGUUACGUGAGGCCCCAUACAUAUUUGAUCAGCAUUCUAUCUAGCUGGUAGGUGAGCAUCGGAACCACUCGUCAAACGCCGGCGCCCACCUGGCUCAGGUAGAAGCAGACGACAUUCAGCGCAGACGACACAAUGCUUGGUUUGACACUUGUGGCCUCCACGCCGAAGAAAGCCGGUGACACGGGUAGCUGGCUCCAACCCCACUUGGAGUAGAUAAAGGAUGGGUUGACGAGCUCGUCACGAUCUGAUGAUUACAGACACGAAAAGAGUAAAAUACAUUUGGAUCAGUAUGUGAAUGGAGGGCAUAUAACAUGGUGGUCCUAUGAAUAGUUGCUCCACUGACCACGAAGACCGGCGGAUGAUGACAGAUGGACAAACAAAGACUUGGGUAGGUUUGGGGGUGUACGUCAUCCUCACCUAUCUCUGUCUGGAUUCGGUGAGGUGCGUCACGCAACAACACAGCGCCCGUAUUGAGGGCGACGUCAUCCUUGGUGCGUUGUUCUCCAUCCACCACAAGCCCCCAUCAGCUACGGCCUACUCUCGAACCUGUGGUGGGAUACGGGAACACUAUGGCAUUCAGAGGGUUGAGACCGUCCUUAUGACACUGGAUGAGAUCAACGACAAUGACAACAUUCUACCGGGCGUCAUACUGGGCUGUGAUAUCAGGGACUCCUGCUGGUAUUCAGCCAUUGCUCUGGAACAGAGCAUCGACUUCAUCAAGGACGCCAUUGCUAGCAAAACGGAGCAGAAUGAGAAAUCUAGCGGUGGAAAUCAGUCCAGCCAGUGUAAAGAUGAGAACCUGCAACCUAUUGCUGGCCUCAUAGGGCCUGGGUCAAGCGAAGCGAGCAUACAAGUCCAGAAUCUACUUCAGAUCUUCAACAUUCCCCAGAUAGGCUACUCCGCUACAAGUGAGGAUCUAAGUAACAAGCGGCAUAAAUAUUUUCUCCGAGUUGUCCCUCCUGAUAACUAUCAGGCUCAGGCAAUGGUGGAUAUUGUACGUCACUUUAACUGGACUUAUAUCUCAACUAUAAAUUCGGAUGGGAACUACGGCGUGCGUGGCAUGCGGGCAUUCAAGGAUAAGGCUACAGAAGUGGGUAUCUGUAUCGCCACCACCAACAGUGUGUCCAGCUCUGGGACUGACGAGGAGUUCGACAAGGUGAUUCAAAACCUCAAGAGCAGGCCCAACGCUUCCGUAGUGGUCUGCUUCUGUGAGGGGUUGACGAUCAAGGCACUGCUCAGGGCGAUGGAAAGAAAUGAUGCUGAGGGAAAGUUCCUCUUAAUAGGCAGUGACGGCUGGGGUAGUCGUGGCGAUGUCGUGGAGGGCUUGGAGAAGCUGGCGGCGGGAGGAAUUUCCAUGAGACUGUACUCGCCUCCUAUCCCACGCUUCGACGACCACUAUGGCAAACUGAAGCACGACAAUAACACCCGUAACCCAUGGUUCAAGGAAUUCUGGCAGGAGCGGUUCAACUGCUACCUUCCAGGCGAUGACAGUGACUCACGGAACAGUACACCCUGCACAGGAAGCGAGACACUCGAGGGUUCGGAACAAGACUCCAAGCUGGGGUUCGUAGUGACGGCGGUGUACACUUUGGCACACGCACUGGACCGGAUGCACACCGCUAUAUGUGGCAGAGAGGCCCGGGGACUUUGUCCGGAGAUGAAACCCAUCAACGGCACAAUCCUCCUCCAACACAUCCUCAACGUCACCUUCCCCACGUACAGCAACGAAACCUUCUUCUUCAACAACAAAGGUGACCCUCCUGGCAGAUACGACAUCAUGAACUACCAGCGAAAUCAUAGCAGGGGGGACAAUGCCACAUACAACUACGUCACCAUCGGCUCAUGGAUAUCCGGGUCACUGGACAUGCGGGAGAAGGUGUACUGGCCGGGGAAAGACCCCGAGAAACCAGUGACCUCUGUCUGCAGUCUGCCCUGUCAGCAGGGUCACGUGAUGGUGAAGCAGACGCAAGGCAAAGACUGUUGCUGGGUGUGUACGCCAUGUAUGGGCAACAAGAUUGUACGAGACAACGUCACUUGCAUGGCAUGUGAAAUUGGCUGGAGACCUAAUUUCGACCUCUCAGAAUGUGAAGAGAUUCCUAUAGAAUUCAUAAGUUGGUCCGAUACAGAAGCUAUUGUUUCCAUGGUGAUGGCGUGUGUAUGUAUCGUCGUAACGCUGUGGGUCUUUUACGUGUUUGUGCGGCACAACGACACACCAGUGGUGAAAGCGUCGACACGGGAGCUGAGCUACAUCAUCCUAUUGGGAACCGUCCUCGCCUACUGCUGCAACUUCGUCUUGGUAGCCAAGCCUUCAAUGGCGUCGUGCAACCUCUCCCGCAUCCUGCCAGGACUGGCGUUCUCACUCAUCUACGGAGCGCUCGUCACUAAAACAAACAGGAUCGCCCGAAUUUUGGAAGGAAGUAAACGCAUCAUGACCAAGAAGCCGCGCUUCAUGAGUGCAUCGGCACAGGUUGUGAUUACAGGUAUUGUGAUAGGUGUAGAGUGCGCUGUGAUCACCGUCAUGCUGAUUGUUGAGCCCGCGGACGCUCACUUGGAGUACCCCAACGAGAGGGUCCGGCUGGUAUGUAACACCUCAACCCUGGGGGUCAUUGUGCCUCUUGGAUUUGACGUCUUCCUCAUCUUCAUGUGUACCCUGUAUGCCAUCAAGACUAGGAACCUUCCUGAGAACUUUAACGAGGCUAAGUUCAUUGGCUUCACUAUGUACACCACCUGUGUCAUCUGGCUUGGCUUCUUCCCCAUCUACUUCGGCGGCGACAGCAAAGUCGUGACCACGUGCAUCUCCAUCACUCUGUCAGCCUCGGUGUCGCUUGUGCUCCUCUUCUUCCCAAAGGUCUAUGUCAUCGUUUGGUCGCCAGAACGGAACACACGUGGCGCGUUCACAACGUCACGUGACGUGCGGUGUCACAUAGGAUCCAAAUCGCUGCCAUCCUGUGACAGCGUCGACAAAAAAGAGAAGAAGUAUGAAGGAUUGUUCAAGUCAGACAUCGGUCGUCCCCCUGGGGCCCAGCAAAACGACAAGUCAGGGGUGCUGAAAAGGUCAAGCCUUCCCCAGUCCCAGGCUUCGCCCCAACACAGGUGGUUCUGUACCCAACGACCUAGUCAUAUUGCUGAAAUGCAACAGUCACGCCGCAGGUGCAACCCAGGUCCUUCAAACUUCCGGAAACAGAUGUCAGAAGAUCUAGACAUGCUGUAUUUACCUGCCCUUGAUUCCUUCCAGGAGGAGCCAUGUGUACCAGCAGCAGAUGUCACUAUGAAGAAAGACGUUGAGUGUCAAACAGAGCCUGACAGCGGGUGUGGUUUACGACACCGGGCUGCGGGUGAUAGUUCUGAUAAUGCCAGUCAUAAAAAGGUCCUGGCGUGUUCCCCUCGUUGUUACUCCCCCGUGGUGCAUCACUUCCAGAACAACCCCCAGGUUCAUGAACGCUGGCCCUUGUUGGGGCUCUACUCUGACGAAGAGGGGGACGCUGAAGGGGGAGGGGACAAAGAGGAAGCGGAGAUGGAGAAAGACAGCGACUCCGACCUCAGUUACCUUGAAGACAUGCAGGGUCUUGAAGCUGCAGUGCAUGGUGUAGACUACAAACACAAGAAAGACUCUCCUGUCAAAAGUUUGAUGUCAACAACCCCAUCAGAAAUCCAUUCCCUGUCCCCCUUGUGCACCCCUCGUGAUAGGAUCCCUCCUUCCUGCAUCUCCCCCGGGUCCCCCCUCCAGCCUGCUCCACUCUCCGCCAACGGUCUCCCCAGCCUCUCUGCCCCCUGUGCCUCCAGCGUACCUCGCCCUGGCUUCAGCGCCUUCAGCAGUCAGGAUUCCAUCUCCGGCGAUGGGACAUUCCACAGCCUCCUCAGCCUCACCGGCAGCAUAGCGUCCGCCCGCACCCCCGAGGAGGUGUCUGUGUUCUCGCUGUCCCCACUGGACACAGAAGAGAAACGCAUGCUAGACUUCCAGCAGUAUCUCCAGACCAGGGGCCUCAAAUUAGACAUGUCGUCAGUGCAGACGAGCGACUUAUGACAUCACAUGAAAUAGGUCUUGCCUGUCAACACACACACACUUCAUCCUCGUUAUGACACCACAUGAACUAGGUCUUGUCUGUCAACACAUAAACAUCAUCUUCGGUAUGACACCACAUGAACUAGGUCGUGUCUGUCAACACAUAAACUUCAUCCUCGUUAUGACACCACAUGAACUAGGUCUUGUCUGUCAACACACACACACACACUUCUUCCUCGUUAUAACAUCACAUGAACUAGGUCUUGUCUGUCAACACAUAAACUUCAUCCUCGUUAUAACACCACAUGAACUAGGUCUUGUCUGUCAACACAUAAACUUCAUCCUCGUUAUAACACCACAUAAACUAGGUAUUGUCUGUCAACACAUAAACUUCAUCCUCGUUAUAACACCACAUGAACUAGGUCUUGUCUGUCAACACAUAAACUUCAUCCUCGUUAUAACACCACAUGAACUAGGUCUUGUCUGUCAACACACACACUUCAUCCUCGCCAUGACACCACAUGAACUAGGUCUUGUCUGUCGACACAUAAACUUCAUCCUCGCUAUGAAUUCACAUGAACUAGGUCUUGUCUGUCAACACAUAAACUUCAUCCUCGCUAUGAAUUCACAUGAACUAGGUUUUGUAUGUCAACACAUAAACUUCAUCCAUGUAAUGACAUCAUACAAACUAGGUUUAUUUGUCAGCAUUUCUCAUUUUUUUAUAUGUCACUCAUUUAACGUCAACACUACACACACAAAAUACAAUACAUGUACACCACCACACACCACCACACGCACCAACACACACACAAC
rnacentral:misc_RNA from 1 species